rnacentral:rRNA from 1 species
UUGAACGCUGUCGGCAUGCUUUACACAUGCAAGUCGAACGGUAACAGGGAGCUUGCUCCGCUGACGAGUGGCGAACGGGUGAGUAAUGCAUCGGAACGUGCCUAUUUGUGGGGGAUAACGUAGCGAAAGUUACGCUAAUACCGCAUACGCCCUGAGGGGGAAAGUGGGGGAUCGCAAGACCUCACGUUAUUGGAGCGGCAGAUAUCGGAUUAGCUAGUUGGUGGGGUAAAGGCUCACCAAGGCGACGAUCCGUAGCGGGUCUGAGAGGACGGCCCGCCACACUGGAACUGAGACACGGUCCAGACUCCUACGGGAGGCAGCAGUGGGGAAUUUUGGACAAUGGGGGCAACCCUGAUCCAGCCAUUCCGCGUGAGUGAAGAAGGCCUUCGGGUUGUAAAGCUCUUUCGGCAGGAACGAAACGGUGAGCUCUAACAUAGCUUGCUAAUGACGGUACCUGAAGAAGAAGCACCGGCUAACUACGU